GCGUCCGUACCCCAACAGGCAGAGGGACCACGUUGAGGACGUGGAUGUUGCCGGUUCGACUCCGGCCGGACGCA
rnacentral:tRNA from 1 species